rfam:Aeromonas molluscorum 848 Cont29, whole genome shotgun sequence.
UCCCAUGCAUUCACUAUUCCUCUUUCGUUUCUCGUUUAUCCGGCCCACCUGAGGGAAGGCCCGUCGUCGUAUAAACCGGAAACUAAAGACGAAUCGAGCCUCCCUAGUGGAGGCUUUUUUAU